AGAUUGCGCUUCGAGGCAUCCAGUGAUGAAGCUGCAUAGGGCAGAUUCUGAGCUGGGAGCUUCAGCUCCUGAACGCUGAUCUUCCAUUUAUGCUGUCUGAGGAUGCGGCUCUUUUU